UACGGAGGGGGACUAGCGUUGUUCGGAAUUACUGGGCGUAAAGCGCACGUAGGCGGAUUUGUAAGUCAGGGGUGAAAUCCCGGGGCUCAACCUCGGAACUGCCUUUGAUACUGCAAAUCUCGAGUCCGAUAGAGGUGGGUGGAAUUCCUAGUGUAGAGGUGAAAUUCGUAGAUAUUAGGAAGAACACCGGUGGCGAAGGCGGCCCACUGGAUCGGUACUGACGCUGAGGUGCGAAAGCGUGGGGAGCAAACAGG
rnacentral:rRNA from 1 species